AUGUUAGUUUCAGGUGUCCAACACAGUGAUUAGACAUUUCUAUAACUUACAAAGUGAUCACCCUGAUAUGUCUAGCACCCAUCUGACACCAGACACAGUUAUGACGAAGAACAUGUCAUUUUUUCUGUUUACCACGAAAGAAGAUUGUUUGGCAGAUAGCACCAAGAUGUAUUCAAUAAAAAGGUGAACAAAUAUGUAAGGCCUCACAACUGUAUUGUAGUCACAGCACUGAAGAGAACAGACCCAUUUCGACCCUUGUGGGAGUCCUGGUACCCAGGAUGGUUAGAACUGCUUGUUUCAGUUUUGGAGCCGAACAUGCCUGAUGACAUUAUCCUUCAGAGCUGGUAUUGCUACUAUCGGAAUGAACACAAAGAGCAGAGACGGAGAGUGCUAGAAGGAGUGGGUGACAUUCCCACAUUCCAGCCAGCCGCGGUGCUUAGGAGGGACCUGGUUCCCAGUCCCGAAACAGGAAGCUGUGCCAUCGAUCGCCCGCAUCAGAUUUUUGCCGUGGGCACAUUUUGCCUCCCAUUCCGGUGUUCGCCUCUGUCUUCUGCCGAGGACCCUUUCAUCACAGUCACGCAGACCAGUUCGCGAAGCCUCUGCAGGGUGACUGUCGCCACGUCUCACUGGGAAA